rnacentral:rRNA from 1 species
ACCCGCUGAACUUAAGCAUAUCAAUAAGCGGAGGAAAAGAAACCAACAGGGAUUGCCUUAGUAACUGCGAGUGAAGCGGCAAAAGCUCAAAUUUGAAAUCUGGCGCCUUGGGUGUCCGACGUGUAAUUUGGAGAGGCAUCUUCGGAGAUGGCGCCGUCCCAAGUUCCUUGGAACAGGACGUCGUAGAGGGUGAGAAUCCCGUGGAUGGGCGGCUGUCCAUCUCCAUAUGAGGUGUCUUCGACGAGUCGAGUUGUUUGGGAAUGCAGCUCAAAAUGGGUGGUAAAUGUCAUCUAAAGCUAAAUACUGGCGAGAGACCGAUAGCGCACAAGUAGAGUGAUCGAAAGAUGAAAAGCACUUUGAAAAGAGAGUUAAAAAGUACGUGAAAUUGCUGAAAGGGAAGCGCUUGAGAUCAGACCCAACUCCAUGGUGUUACUCUGGGCUUCUGUCUGGAACUCUACGCCUUGGAUUGAGCCAGCAUCGGUUUUUGCGGUGGGAUAAAAGGUGGGGGCAUGUAGCUUCCUCCGGGGAGUGUUAGAGCCCCCGCCACAAUGCCAUCAUCGGGGACCGAGGACCGCGCUUCGGCUAGGAUGCUGGCGUAAUGGUCUUAAGCGACCCGUCUUGAAACACGG